UACGUAGGUGGCAAGCGUUGUCCGGAAUCAUUGGGCGUAAAGCGCGCGCAGGCGGUUGGCAGAGCCCGGCGUGAAAGCCCCCAGCUCAACUGGGGGAGGCCGUCGGAGACCUGUCGACUUGAGGCCGGUAGGGGAGAGCGGAAUUCCCGGUGUAGUGGUGGAAUGCGUAGAUAUCGGGAGGAACACUGGUGGCGAAGGCGGCAUCCUGGACCGGUAUUGACGCUGAGGCGCGAAAGCUAGGGGAGCAAACGGG
rnacentral:rRNA from 1 species